CGGCAGCGGGAAAGUAGCUUGCUACUUUUGCCGGCGAGCGGCGGACGGGUGAGUAAUGCCUGGGAAAUUGCCCAGUCGAGGGGGAUAACAGUUGGAAACGACUGCUAAUACCGCAUACGCCCUACGGGGGAAAGCAGGGGACCUUCAGGCCUUGCGCGAUUGGAUAUGCCCAGGUGGGAUUAGCUAGUUGGUGAGGUAAUGGCUCACCAAGGCGACGAUCCCUAGCUGGUCUGAGAGGAUGAUCAGCCACACUGGAACUGAGACACGGUCCAGACUCCUACGGGAGGCAGCAG
rnacentral:rRNA from 1 species